UACGACCAUAUCACAUUUAAACACCGGUUCCCGUACGAUUACUGAAGCUAAGCAACGUCGAGCUUGGGGAGUACCUUGAUAGAUGACCGCCUAGGAAUAUCAGGU